GCCUACGGGUGGCAGCAGUAGGGAAUUUUCCACAAUGGGCGAAAGCCUGAUGGAGCAACGCCGCGUGCAGGAUGAAGGCCCUCGGGUCGUAAACUGCUUUUAUGUGAGAAGAAUAUGACGGUAACACAUGAAUAAGGGUCGGCUAACUACGUGCCAGCAGCCGCGGUCAUACGUAGGACCCAAGCGUUAUCCGGAAUUACUGGGCGUAAAGAGUUGCGUAGGUGGCAUUGUAAGUGGAGCGUGAAAGCGUGCGGCUCAACCGCAUUACUGCGUUCCAAACUGCAGAGCUUGAGUACGAGAGAGGUAGAUGGAAUUCCCAGUGUAGGAGUGAAAUCCGUAGAUAUUGGGAGGAACACCGAUGGCGUAGGCAGUCUACUGGCUCGUUACUGACACUAAGGCACGAAAGCGUGGGGAGCAAACGGGAUUAGAUACCCCAGUAGUC
rnacentral:rRNA from 1 species